AAAUAGCUAGACAAAGAGAAUCUCUUGUAUAUAUCAAAGAGAUCUUACAAGUUAAACUGAACCAAACUGAGACCAUCAUACAAAUUGAUCGGGUAAUAACAGUACCCAUACUUUUAUUUUCUUAAACAUAACAUAAGAGACUAAUACUGCAUGUUCUUAACCAGUGUGAUUAGGGUUUCUUCCAUAUUGCGGAACCACAAGAAGAUCAAUAUUUCCAUUAAUUUCAUCAUCAGCAAUAAGUGAAAAAAAUGGGUGACCUACACCCUCCGACCAAUCGGUAUAACCUGAAAAAAUCAUGUUAUAAAACUCAAUCACAAAUACACAUAUUAAAAUAAAGAAUUAUAAAUGACAUUUAUUUGAAAAUGCAUGGCCUAUGUAUAAAACCUGCGCAAGGAGUUCCCAUAAUCUUCAAAUCAGGAAGGCAAAAGAUUUCUGCUGGCUUCGAUUGAACCGUAUUCAAAACUCAAAAGGUAAGUAGUUGUGCUUGAGCGAGUUCUUAUUUCUGGUUUGAUCUGAUAUAUAUAGAUCAAGUAG
rnacentral:lncRNA from 1 species